UUCAUGUAAUUCUUCCUAGAGUAUUAAUCUCUAUUAUGUUCCUCUUUUUUAAAAAAAACGUAAAUAGAAUUUAGUAUACAUUAGGAUUAUUUGACUGCAAAUAACCAGAAUCACCCAGCUUGCCCUGAGAACAGGGCUGGUUUCCCUGUCCAAGUGGGGCUGAGGAUGACCCCGGGCCUUAGCACUCUGCUUCCUCACGCUUUCUCAUCAUCUUCUGGUGGAGGCUGACUGAUAACUUGAUGCCAAGGCCCACUCAGCAGAAGCCCCGGAAGCCCUAGACUGCUCGGUUAAACCCUCGGCUUCUAGAUGGAAUUCUCAGCAGGAAUGUAAGACAAUUUCCUUUCUCCCCAUGCCUGGGAAGCUGCUCCCCAAGUCCGUGCACAGACUGCCUGUCUUGGAACCGCUUGGUGACACCUGUUGACACGGAGCGUCCUGAGUCCUUCUCUUCUUGCAGAUGAAGUGCCAGAAAGGGGACUGACUUUGGCAGGGAGCCAGGGCCAAGCAAGGCCUGGAACACCAGUCCUCUGGUUCUAAAACCCAAGCAGGAAAGUCAAAGAAUGAAGAACAGGAAACAUGACCAGCUUCCGCGCCUCUGAUUCCCACGUGUUUUUCCACUGACUGCAAAUGUGAAGAGAAAAGCGCACUGCUGACCCAGGCGGAAAUCUCUGUAAACCGACUUCCUGCAGAGGCCGGGCCUGGCGCUGUGGUGGAAAUGUUGCUUCCAACAUUAUUUACACACCCACAUUAUAUUGAUGCAUAGAUACGAAAUUCAUGCACCAAGUUCAAAAGAUACAGAAAAACAAGUCUGUCCUCCUCUGCUAUCCUGAGUCUCUCAGGACCCAGCCAGGGCCAUGAAAACACCCAGCACUGCAACUGUUUCCUUUCUAUCCUUUAGAAAGAGACAUUCUAUACAAAUUAAAUAUAUAUGUUUAAAUCAGCAA